GCCUAAGUGUUUCAAAUUCAAUGAAAGUUAACGGUGUAUAUUUUCAUUUUUGAAAACUCACACUGAGAUAAAAGUCUUAGAUAAAAAUAUUCACAGCAGUUGGCAGAAUUAUUUGAGCAAUUAUUUAAUGUAAAGGAAAUGAUCUCUUGAAUUAAAAAGUUACAGAGAACGAGCUUGAGAACUGUCAUUUUAAGGCAAGAUUGCACAGGUGUGACUUUUUUCACUGUCCCAGAGCACAUUUGUAAGUCAAACAAGUGCAUAAAUACCAAAACAGAAGUCAGAAAAUUAUGACUGAGUUCCUCUGUUACCACCAUUCCAAACGAUCUCUUUGCAAACAAGGAGCUUUCUCUUAAAAACAUUCUGAGCACUUUAACCACAGAUGUUCUCUUAAAAGAAUCUGUAUGUCUCAUUGACUAUAAAACAGUGACACACACAAAUAUACCAAAAGAGAUAGGAGAGCCACAUUACCCUAGAAUACACACAAAUUGCAACUCAAAUAGGGACAGAAGCAAGGAAAAAGCAAGACAAAUUUGUUGCACACAUUUUGGAGUUUGGAGAGAGGCAGUCAAGACAGUGGACUGUAAGUAUUUUCUGGAUGUCUGAUUUUCACUGUAGGCAUGUGUCAAAUUUGCUUCUUUGACCAACAAUUUUUUAAAAACAAUUGUUAAAUUAUCUUGUCCUUUUGGGCAAAUCAGGCUAAUCGCAUCAAUGUGAAGAUUCAGGGGAAAGUUAUGUAUAGUUUUAGAAAUUUACUAUCACUGACUUGAUGGUUUAAUCUCCUACUUCUGCAAAGAAGCAAAAUAGAUGAGAAUCAUUGCCAUAUAUGUUUGGGAACUUAUGGCUGAUUGAGGAAGCCAUGACAGUAUUUAGUUAUUGGCAGGGCAAGAGUGACUUUCAUUCAGUCAUUUAUUCAUUCAAUAAACACUUACUGAGCUCCUCUUAUGUGCGAAGUAUCUGAGGCAGAAGCAUAAAGCAGGUGUAUGUCCUCCUUGCGGGAUGUGUGAAACAUAAACCUGAUUAUAAUACACAACAGAGAACAUCCUGUGCUGUAGGAUAUGCAAGCAACAUUGUUAGUAGAUUCAAGGGGCAAAGGGAGAGCUUCUCCCCCGGGAAGAUUGGGGAGGGCUUUGUGGAAGAUGUCACAUGUCAGCAUGAAAGAAAAGUGGAUUUCAACAGUGGAGACAGAAAAGAAGGAUGCAACAGUUGAGCGAGAGCGUAUAAGCAAAGGCACAAGGGAAGACAUGGCAGUGAGGAAAUCGUGGAGUUUGUUAAGAACUUGCUAUAGAUAAAGGGCAACGCUUGGAAUUAAAUCUGGAAAAAUAGAUUGAACCCCAAAAAGAAGACUUUAAAUGCCAAGCUAGAGAGUUCGAACUUUAUUAAGUGGGCAAUGGGAAGUCAUUAAAGGGUCUUGAGGCAGAGAAUGGUUUAAGAGAUGUAGUUUCGGAAGAUUAACUGACAUGAGCCCACAGGAUAUAUUAGAGGGGAGAAAUGGAAGGCGAGGAGCUCAACCAAGAGAACAUUACUAUCCUCCAAGUGACAGGGAUUGAGGACAGCUUUGGGGACAGGAGGAAUGAAAAAAAAAGGUAGAUUCAAAAAACACUGAAGGCAAACAUUGGAAUGGCAAGAAGAAAGGCAAAGGGAACUAGUAUUUAUUGAGGACAUACUACCUGUUACUCAGAACACUAGAUAUAUAGGAUAAACAAACGUCCUUUUCUUGCCACAAUCUGUUUAUGCCUUCUUUUCUUUUUUUUCUUCUCUUUUGUUUUCUUUGAUCAUGAGAUAAUUAUUAACAAUGGCUCCUUUCAUUCUCCAUGUGUUCUGGUUCGGACAAUGUGGUACACAAUCCUGUUUUUAUAUACUUUUCAUCUUUGCUUCCUCCAGUUUGCCAUCUUCCACUGUGCACCUGAAGACGCUGAACAUCUGAGGAGUCGCCUCAUGGCAUGUGGCCAGUAGGUGGAAGAGCCUGGAUUUGAAUCCAGAUCUAUAGAGUUCCAAAACGGGUGGAACAGACCAAAGCAACUGGAUCUAGAUAAAAGUUAUGAGCCAUGUUAGAUUCAAACACAGGUAAUAUCCUUGGGAACCAGCUGCCACCAGCAGAGACCACAGAGACCACAGUGGAACUUGGAUGAAAAUGCACUCAAAGGCCAAAGGCUAAAGCCAGAGACCACAAAAGAACUGAAUUAAACAAGUUUUUACUGGGCCUUGGUUUCAAGGAGCUCAGAGGGUUUACCAGACUUCUUGUCGGCCUUCAUCACACCCAAGUUAGAGGCGAGAGUGAAUAUUGUACGAAGAUGGCUUUCAUAUGAAGGCAGUCUGCAAAAGCAAAACUGAUCACUCAAAGCCAGUGGGUGAGGACCCAAUUUCCUUAACAAGAAUGCACGGAUCUACUGGUGAAGGAAAAGAAUAUCACCAUUAAUUAAGAUGAAACAACAACACUACUACUCAUUAAAGUACCCAAGGCAGGUAAACUGCCUUGUAAAUUGACCACUUGGGAAUGUUUGGCUUACCAGGUACUUGCACACUGGCAAGAAAGUCAGGAAAUCCAGACAGAGUCCACCCUACUGCUGCUCACCUCCUCUCCUAUCUGGCAGCCAGGAAGGAUUUGUUCUGUUUUGUUACAGAGGGAUAAACUAGGAUCAGUGAGUGGAAGACUCAUGAAGGUAGAUUUUUGGCUCGAGAGAACACUUUUCAAAAAUUAGAUGACCCAAUGAUGAAUGUGCUGCUAGCUAAGGUGAUGCGUGCUCUGUAGGUGAUCAAGGAGAAGCCCCAGGAACACACAUUCGGAUGAGCUAAACCAGAAGAGCCAAGACAUCCAAAGAGCAUCAGGAAAAGUCUUUGCUGAAAAGAAUCUUCAAGACCAGCUUGUGCCCUGCUGCUAAACAUCAGUUCAGCUUGUAAAAUCUCCCUGGUAACACCGUACAAUAAGGUACCAUCCAGUCAGCCUGGAAGUUUCAUCAUAUAACUCAAACACGCUUCAGGGGCUCUCAGUAUGGUGUCCUUCACUCCAUUCUUAAAGGCCUUGUUUUUUGUCCUCCAUUCUCCUCGUCCACACACCUGACGACUGUCCCAUUUAUAUUCUGCUGGAACCCUCCAAACUAAACAUAAUGGAACUGAGGGAAACCUAGAAAAGCCCUGGAUCCGAUUCACUUGGUCUCCAUAAUCAAAAGAGUCUGGAAACAGAAAUGUCAGGACUUUGUAAAUUUCAAUCAGGACAAAGUAGGGGAGAAGCAGUCUACUGAAAGAAAAACUAUUUUCAAAAAUGAAACAGAGUCUUGACGAUUCUCCCAACUUAGAAGGCUCAUCUCACCAAAUACGAUGCAUUGGUCAGGGUUAGUUUUGGCUACAGAUACCACAAAGACUCGACGUCACGGUGCCUUGGAGCAGGGAAUAACAGGUGCCAGCCCAUGGACUCAAUCCAGCCUGCUGCCUAUUUUGGUAUAUUGAAAUUUUAUUUGAACACAGUCACUCCUGUGUGUAUGUGUUGUCUGUGGCUGCCUCUGUAAUCCACCAGUAGAGCUGCACAGUUGUGACAGAGAUCUAUGUGGCCUCCAGAGCCUAAAAGGUUUAUUAGCUGGCUCUUUACUAAACAAGUUUGUAACUUGUUGGUUUGUAACUUAUAAGUUUGUAAGUUGUUAACUGCUGCCUUAGAGUAUCAAUGUAGUUCCCUCUCAUAAGUAAGUCCAGAGGCCAGCAACACAGGAGUUAAUAGCGUCAUCAGGGAAAGGACUCCCUCUGUCUUUCUGCUUUGACAUCCUAGCACAUGGCUUUCCUCAUCAAGAUGACCCCAUGGUUUCAUGGUCCAGAAUGGCUUCUGAGACUCUUAUUACCAUUUCUAAAAAGCAAGCUAGAAGAAAGAGGAAAAGCAGAAGAAUAAAGGCUGGAGAGGGGGGGAUUGCCUUCCUGAUGAGCCCUGAUUAAGUAGCUUUCCUGAAGUCCUGCAAAAACACUUCCAUUUACAUUUUAUUUGCCAGAACUUAUCCAUUUGCCAUAUCUAGCUUCAAAGCAGACUGGGAAAUAAAGAUUAAAAAAAAAUUGGUAACCAUGUGCCCCACUCAAAAUAAGUGUAUUACUUUGGAGAAAAGAAACAAUGUAUGCUGAGUUAGCAGGUAGCAGUCUUGGCUACCAAAGAGUAUUUAGUGAAAUCAUGCAUAGCAGAUUUACUGAUAACUGAUACCUUGUUUCAUUUGGGGAUGGAAGUUUCUGAAGAAUGCAGAAUUUGUAUUCUGGCAUUACAAAUUAUACUUCUUU